GAGAAUUCCCACUAAGCAUAGGACUGUGUUCACACUAACACAGCUAUGUACAAUGGUGCCUGAGACCACUAAUAAUAGCUCUCUUUAAAUCCUGCACUGAUGAGAAAGGAUGACCAUUAUUAACAGGAAUGGGACGAGAAGAAACUUUCAGCCCUUGGGGUCCUCAAGAGGGAAUAGGGAUCUCUGUUAUAAAAAAUGCUGAAUCCUACAAAUAAGCCCUGGAAUUUAAAUUCACGCCGAUGCACACAAGCUAUACCAUUUGCUGCAGAGCAGCUCUUCCAGUCAUUCUUUAUUCGAGAGGGGUUGAUGGCAAAAGGAGGCUUGGAUAAUGUUUCUUUCAUCUCUUCCCACCCCUAUGCUAUGAAUUAAAAAAAAAAAAAAAGAGUUAUCACUAUGGCUUUGGAUGUUUUGUCUUUUAUUACGUCCUGAUUUUUUGCAGUUACAUCUAUUAAUUCAAUGUUAAUCUUUACCUGUUUUCAGAUCUCUCUGUAAGUGAUAAAGCCAUCCUUUGUGUUAGGACGCAGAAGGAAUUGAAAUUAUCUAGUUUUUCUUCUCUA